GACGAACGCUGGCGGCGUGCCUAAUACAUGCAAGUAGAACGCUGAAGGAGGAGCUUGCUUCUCUGGAUGAGUUGCGAACGGGUGAGUAACGCGUAGGUAACCUGCCUGGUAGCGGGGGAUAACUAUUGGAAACGAUAGCUAAUACCGCAUAAGAGUAGAUGUCGCAUGACAUUUGCUUAAAAGGUGCAAUUGCAUCACUACCAGAUGGACCUGCGUUGUAUUAGCUAGUUGGUGAGGUAACGGCUCACCAAGGCAACGAUACAUAGCCGACCUGAGAGGGUGAUCGGCCACACUGGGACUGAGACACGGCCCAGACUCCUACGGGAGGCAGCAGUAGGGAAUCUUCGGCAAUGGACGGAAGUCUGACCGAGCAACGCCGCGUGAGUGAAGAAGGUUUUCGGAUCGUAAAGCUCUGUUGUAAGAGAAGAAAGAGUGUGAGAGUGGAAAGUUCACACUGUGACGGUAUCUUACCAGAAAGGGACGGCUAACUACGUG
rnacentral:rRNA from 1 species